GCUACAUCAUCCGCAUUUUACAACAUUUUGCAAUAUUACUAAUUUUGUGAUGCUCUUUCAAGCUGUGAUGAAAUUUUUGUCUAUAGACUUGUUUAGUUCAAAAUUUUGGUUAAUUGGGGAUUGGUCCAUUAAAAAUAUCAAAUAUGAUUUGUUCCCAUUAUAGUAAAAAUUAAUUAGGUUAUUUCAUGACUAUAUUUUGGUACUAAAAUUACGAACAGACGUAUAGACGAGCAAGUUCUCCUUUAGGAAAACCUGUCAAAAAAUGUCAAGGAAAUCUUGAAUGACAAGGACAAAAUUGCUCGCCUACAUUGCAUUUAAACAAGAUUUUUGUUUUCGACAAAAACGGAUUUGUCGGUAGUAUCACUUAGCUCAAGUUGUUGAAAGGCAGCUUGAGCCUCCGAUAUGACUUCUUGGGUCGGCUGGCCAGUGGUCUCUGGUAGCAGCAAGCAUGCGCAACUUGCCAAAAACGCCAAGGUCGCAAAGAUAGCAUACGGAAUGAGCGGAUGAAUUCGAGUC